AUCACUUAUCGGUUUUUGGCUAAGAUCAAGUGUGAUAUCUGUUCUUAUUAGUUUAAUAUCUGAUACAUCCCUAGUCUAGGGACCAUAUAAGAAAAUAAAUAAAUAAAUAAAAUUAAAAUAAAAUUUGACUUGUCAUUACAGCACAGAAUGGGGCUCCACUGGAGCGGGCGGCUGUUCGGAGGAACUCCAU